rnacentral:rRNA from 1 species
AGGACGAACGCUGGCGGCGUGCUUAACACAUGCAAGUCGAACGGUGAAGCCCUUCGGGGUGGAUCAGUGGCGAACGGGUGAGUAACACGUGAGCAAUCUGCCCUUGACUCUGGGAUAACUUCGGGAAACCGGAGCUAAUACCGGAUAUGACGCAUGGCCGCAUGGUCUGUGUGUGGAAAGAUUUAUUGGUCAGGGAUGAGCUCGCGGCCUAUCAGCUUGUUGGUGGGGUAAUGGCCUACCAAGGCGACGACGGGUA